UCUCUCUCUCUCUCUCAAACUUUUGAUCUUUUGGACUUAGUAAAUGUUGGCAUCAGUUAUUUGAUUAAGACAUCUGGGAUGAACUUUCUUUGAACAAGAACUAGGUAUUUGUACCUGCAUUGACAGUCCCAACUGCAUCUUUUUUAUUAUUUUUUUUUUCAUGUCAUGUUCUAUUGCACUUUUGAAACUGAAUGAUAUAUUUUGUUUUAGCAAUGGUAUUUAAAUGAUUCCAAUAUUACCAUUUCUUAAUUUUCAUUCGGAACAAUAGCAUUUUAGGAUUUAGGAUUUAAAUAAACUCCGAUUUCAGGUGCCAAAAUCACCGACAAUCAUUGUUUUGUUUUAAAAUUUUGAAUCCAAGUCAAGCCUCUAAUAUGCAUUUUUAACCACCACAGCCAUUAGCUUCCUACACCCAAUCCCUCAAAA
rnacentral:misc_RNA from 1 species